AACGCGAAGAACCUUACCUACUCUUGACAUCCAGAGAAUUUGCCAGAGAUGGCGAAGUGCCUUCGGGAGCUCUGAGACAGGUGCUGCAUGGCUGUCGUCAGCUCGUGUUGUGAAAUGUUGGGUUAAGUCCCGCAACGAGCGCAACCCUUAUCCUUUGUUGCCAGCACGUAAUGGUGGGAACUCAAAGGAGACUGGCGGUGAUAAACCGUAGGAAGGUGGGGACGACGUCAAGUCAUCAUGGCCCUUACGAGUAGGGCUACACACGUGCUACAAUGGCCGAUACAAAGUGAAGCGAGCUCGCGAGAGUAAGCGGAACACAGAAAGUCGGUCGUAGUCCGGAUUGGAGUCUGCAACUCGACUCCAUGAAGUAGGAAUCGCUAGUAAUCGUAGAUCAGAAUGCUACGGUGAAUACGUUCCCGGGCCUUGUACACACCGUAGUAC
rnacentral:rRNA from 1 species